CCCAUUUUUGCUCCCAUCAGCCGCACCUGAGCCCCCCUCUCUUUUUCUACUCGUUCCCUUUGCGUCUCUCUUAAUCUACCAUCGGUGGACUAAUCAACACCGACGCCGCCUCUCUUCUCUCCCCCCCGACCCUCCUUUCUCUCUAAAACACUAGCCACCGACGUCGCUCGAGACAACCGCCAAGCCGCCACCUAGCUCCUCCAUAUCCAUCGGAACCAUCAGCUGCUCCGAUCGGCGACCCCCUCCUUUCCCUAGUAGCAGCAAGAAAAUAGCCUCUAGCCACCGCUAAAACCAUUUUUGAUGGAGCCUCACCGGCGAAACUAGCCCCAAAACCAACACCGCCACCCCACUUGUCACCAGCGAAUCAUGACGAAUUCAUGACGAAUCCGUCCAGGUUUGUAUCCUCGUUUAAUUCUUGUACCCCAAAUUAAUAUUAUUAUCUUUCUCUCAUUCUAUUUCUUUUAACAGUUUAUUAAUUUUGAAAUUAGUGAUAUUCAAUUUUGUUUUUUAAUUUGAUUCUUUUAAUUUCAUGUUUGUUUGUAUUCUUUAGUUGACAUAUGUUAAAAGCCCUAAAAUUUGUAGACUGUUGGACCCCAAUCUGUCGCAAAUUAAGUUAGGAGUUUAGUAGAUUUGACUUGCUCAUUCCCCACUUUCCUGAACUCUAAAUUAUGAUAAGUGUCCUGCAUGUAUUUGGACUAUUUUGGUAUAAUUUGGCCUAGUUGCUUGAUAUGUUGCUUGAAUUUUGUGAAAUUUGGACUAGUUUCUUUACUAUGCGAUAAUCUGUUAUUCCCAUUUCUGGAGGAAUGAGUAUGUCCUUGGCUGAUUUCCCCUAUACAUGCAAUACCAUUGCCUACUCUCAUAACUUUGAUUUCGGAAAUUUGAUUUGGUUGAUUGAUCUUUUGGUAUAUUGUGAUGUCUCCCUUUAAGCAUGUCGAUUUGAUUUCAAUUAGAGUUGAUUUCAAUUAGAGGGUUGCUCCUAAUUAUAGUAUAUUUUUAAAUAGAGAUUCGAGAUUAUGGUAAUUAUACUGAUUUGGAAUUAUGUGUAUCUUUAUAUUCCAUGGUCUCCUUAUUUAUCCUCUCACCCUUUUUGAUUUGAAAAGAUUUUAUACUUAUCUAUUUAUGGUAAACAUUAAUCCAUCCUCAAUCUGAUUGAUUUAAUUUGCCAUAUCUUAUUGUGUGAUUGAAAAUUUCCUUCCUUUCUUUAAUGUCAUGAUUGACUUUGUGAUAGCGAAUAUAUUUUUUUUUACCUUAAUUGUCAUAGCAUGAUUGAUUUUGUGCCUUGAUUAUCAUAGUCGUUUUCUACUAUAUAAAUAAUCUUUUUCAGUUCUUAAAGAGUACUUCGAAUCCUCUCGAUUCUCUCAUAUACAAAAUACUGGAAUUUUAUAUUUUUUAUUCUCUCAAGAACAGACAACUUAGAAGUUACAAUAUACGACAUACACUCUCUCUUACUAAAAGCUUAAAGAAAAGAAGAGGUAAUUUUACUUUAUUAUUUUUGGCACUUAUUUUUGGAGCAUUAAUCUUGACCUUUCGAUGGCAAUCCAUUCUCGGAUCUCUGGCUGUUUGAUUUUCUUAUUGUUAUUAUCAUUUGUUAUCAUCAACCGAGUUUGUUAGGAAUGACACUCACAUGGUUCGCCCAACAAGACUUCAACAAAUGGCAUAAUUGGGAAGAAUUGGCUUAAGAUUUCAUGAGGCAAUACAAGUUUAACAUCACUACUAGUCCAACAAUGCAGGAGUUAUUCGAGAUGAAGAGAACGAUCCAUGAAUCUUUUGAGGAAUAUGCAAUUCGAUAGAGGUUAGAGGCUUCCGAAAUACGUUCUUCUGUACCUGAGGAGGAAUUGAUCCAAAUUUUUCUCAAGACACUAGAUGGAAUAUACUUUCAGAAAAUGUUUUUCCUGGUCAUUCACAGCUUUGAGAGUCUAAUUUCAAUUGGAAAGAAUUUAGAAUAUGAAACAAAGAAUCCAUCUAAGGGGGAGAAAGAGGAUGCAUCACCCUCCAUACCUCCAAUGCAAGUUUAUCAAAAUAAUGAAGAGACCCAUAUUGUUUUUGGUUCUCAAAAACCUCAAAAAUUUCACAAGUAAACAAUAUAUUCAUUUCUGCACCCAUAUUUCAACAUUUUAAUGCAUUUUUCAGCAUAUUAAUAUGAAAUUUCUGCACCAUUAAUAUAAUUUUCUACAUGUUAAAGAUUAGGUGUUAGGCAUUUUUUAGCAUGUUAUUGCAUUUUUAGCAUGUAAACAUGAAAUUCCUGCGCACUAACCCAAUUGCCAGCAUGUUAAAAAUGUAGGUUUUUGAGCAUUUUCAACAUGUUAAACCCUAGAUUAAGUACAUCAUUAUGUGCCUUAGCAUGUUAAUGUAUUUUCAAUAUUGUGUUAAUUUCUUACACUCUCAUUAGUUUAUAACACUUGCACAAUGAAAGUCGUGAACACAACUCCUUGACAUAUUUACCGCACUUUUACAUCCUCUUUUAACAAGUUGACAACACAUUGUUUAGAUAUGAAUCACAGUUAUCUUUUGUCAUAUUAGACAGUUAUUGAACACUUAGAUAUCAUGCCUAUAGGUUAAUGACAUCAAAAUAAAUAAUUGUCUGUCUUUGCAUGUUAAUCACAUUAAUCAACUUUAAUUAACCAAGAGGCUAAUUUAGGACAAUUGUGCGCUAUGUGACGUCCUACUUGUUAUGCGUUUUGAUUCCUAGGCAACAUAGCUUUAUUUUUGUCUAGACCACAAAGCCAAAAUAGAAAAGGAUGCCUCUUGGACGAUAGGUAUGACGAUAAGUAUUACUAAAGAUGGUAAUUUUAUCCUGGUCUUAGAAUGCCUUUAGACUUGAUAGCCAGCCUAGGUGGGGUGGGACGGGUAGUCAUUCGAAAGUGAUGAUCUCCAACAAACAUUAAAGAUAAGACAUAUGACUUGUCUAAGAGUUCGGCCAGUGGGUCGGAUGAUGAUUAAACAAGUUGGGGUUCUGAUUCGAACGAGUCCAAAAAUAUUUUUUUGUUUGAUUUGAUGAAUUUUUUUUAUUCUUUUAUUUACCUUACACACUUAUUUAUUUGGGGUAAUUAGUUUGUUACAUAAGCAGCCCCCUUGUGUUAUAAAUUAUGUCAUUUCUUUCCCCUCAUUUGUCUUAUUUACAUGUUUUAUUGACUUUUGUCACUUAGAUAAUCAACAAUUAGAAAUAAUCAAAUAACAUGUGUUCUUUUAUCAAUUACUGUUUCACUUAGUUAACAAUUAAGUUAAAAUAAGAGACUUUUAUUUGAACACAUAGCAUCCCCACGUAAAAUACAAAUUCGGUCAGGAACCAUCUUUGUGGACCUCGAAAGGUACCUAACGCUUUUCUUUUGAGGUAAUUUGAACCCUUACCCGAAUAUCUGGCAAUCUGAGACUAAAUAACAAAAUAGGUUUGUAGUAGCCUAGACCGGUGUCCUAACUCACCUUAAUUCGUUAGGUGGCGACUCUUCACAUUCAUACCCUCAAAACUAUUCCAAAAAAAGUAGUCACAUUGAAUCCCGCUUUUUGCGAGUGAAAAAUUAGGCGCGAUAAUAACUUUGAGGAAUCCAUCAAUGGUGAGUGUGUCUACAUGGGUAACUCCACUACUGCUAGAGUUUUGGGUAAAGGAAAUUUUUUACUUAAAUUAACUUCUGAAAAAAUAUUACCCUUGAACAAUGUUCUGUAUGUUUCCUCGCUCCGUAGAAACUUAGUUUCUGGAGCACUUCUCAACAAAGUAGGCCUUAAACUUGUUUUUGUAGCUGAUAAAAUAAUUAUCUCCCGCGGAGGAAACUUUGUUGGGAAGAGAUACCUUAGUGGGGACUUACUUGUACUGAACAUUGAUCAAGAGAUUGUCAAUAAUGCAAAUGUUUCUAAUUCUGCUUAUAUUGUUGAGUUUAUUAAUUUGUGAUAGACUAGGUCAUGUUAAUAUUUAUUCUAUUAAAAGACUUAGAAAAAUGGGAUUAAUUCCCAUAGUAAAUAUUGAUGAUUUUUCUAAAUGUCCUCUAUGUGAAGAAGCAAAGCAUGCCAAGAAACCUUUUAACUAUGUUACUAGUAGAAAGACUGAAUUGCUUGAACUAGUACAUUCAAACUUAGCAGAUUUUAAGAAUACUAUUAGUAAAGGUGGAAAAAAAUAUUACAUUACUUUUGUUGAUGAUUUUUUUAGGUACACUAAGGUAUACCUCCUUAAGUUUAAAGAUGAGGCUGAAAGCAUGUUUUUAAAAUUUAAAAUAGAAGUAGAAAAUCAAUUAAAUAGGAAAAUCAAGAGAUUUAGAUCUUAUAGGGGCGGUGAAUAUAGUACUAAAACUCUAGAAGAUUUUUGUGAAAUAAAUGGUAUUAUUCAUGAGUUUACUGCUCCCUAUACUCCCCAAUAAAAUGGUGUAGCCGAACGAAAGAAUAGAACACUUAAGAAAAUGAUGAAUUCUAUGCUUUUAAGCUUGGGUCUACCUGACUACAUAUAAAGGAAGCUGUCUUAUCUGCAUGUUAUAUUCUUAAUAGAGUCUCUCAUAAAAAGUUAGACAGGACCUCUUAUGAAUUGUGGAAAGGAUUUACUCCUAACUUGAAAUUUUUGAAAGUGUGGGGGUGUUUGGAUAAGGUUGGUCUACCUGAUUUUUAAACAAGUAAAUGUAGGUUCUAAUACCUUUGACACUAUCUUUAUUGGUUAUGCUCAAAAUAGUAUUGCAUAUAUAUUUAUGUCAUUAAAUAAUUAUUCUAUUUGUGAAUCUAAAUCUGGAGAAUUUCUUGAGCAUGUUUUUCUUUUGAAAAAUGAUGUGCCUGUUGAUGUGCAAAAUACUACUUCUAUAUCUAUGUAUGUUAACUCUCAAGUAUUGCCUGCAUCUGAUGUUAUUGCUAAUGAACAUGAAAAUAAACUUAGAAGGAGUAAAAGACGUGGAACUGAGACUAAUUUUGGUCCUGAUUUUAUCACCACUUUUUUAACUGAGGAUUUUGAUAUCGAUACUUUAAAUGAUAAAUUAAUAUCUAUACACUUAAUAGAAGAAGAACCUAAGACAUAUGGUGAAUCAAUGAGUUCAAUAGAUAUGAUAUUUUGGAAAUAGUCUAUUAAAAGUGAAUUAGACUCUAUAGUCUCUAAUCACACAUGUGACUUGUAUGAUUUUCCUAAAAGUUGUAAACCCAUAAAUAGUAAGUGGAUAUUUAAGACGAAAUUGAGGCGUGAUGGUACAAUUGAUAAAUAUAAGGCUAGACUUAUGAUUAGGGGUUUUAACCAAAAGAAAGGUGUUGAUUAUUUUGAUGCUUAUUCUCCUGAGUUUAAAAUAGGGACCAUUAGGACUCUUAUUACUUUAGCUGUUAUUCAUAGUUUAGUUGUACACCAAAUGGAUGUCAGAACUGCAUUUUUGAAUGGUGAUUUAGAGAAAGAAAUCUAUAUGACUCCACCUGAGGGGUUUGUGGUCUUAGGACAAGAGGAUAAAGUAUGCAAAUUGAGAAAUUCCUUAUAUGGAAUUAAGCAGACACCUAAGCAGUGGUAUGAAAAAUUUAAUUUCAUAUUAAUGAAUAAUAGUUUUGUUGUUAAUUCAUCUGAUACCUGUGUUUAUUCUAAAAUAAUAUGAUCAGAUUGAGUGAUUAUAUGUUUAUAUGUGGAUGACAUGUUGUAAAUGAGACUAAGAAAUUUGUAUUUUCUAAAUUUAAAAUGAAAUACCUUAGAGAAGCUGAUGUGAUUUUAGGGAUAAAAAUCAAAAGAAUUGUUAAUGGUUUCUCUUUAUGUCAGUCUCAUUAUAUUGAAAAGAUGUUGAAAAAGUUUGAUUGUUUUGAUGUAAUUUUAGUGAGAACUCCUUAUGAUCCUAACAUACACUUGAAAAAAUAAUCGAGAUUUUGGUGUUUCUCAAACUGAAUAUGCUAAAAUAAUUGAGAGUGUAAUGUUUCUCAUGAACUAUACUCGGCCUGAUAUAGAUUAUGCUAUUAGUAGAUUGAGUAGAUAUACUCGUAAUUCCAGUAGUGAACAGUGGAAUGCUCUUCACCGCUUUUUAAGGUAUCUGCCAGGUACUAUAGAUUGGUGUUUGUAUUUUAAUAAAUUUCCUGCUAUUUUAGAAGGUUUUUGUGAUGCAAACUUGGUAACUGACAAUGAUGAAGUUAACUCUACCAGUGGCUAUGUAUUUA